AGUGAACGCUGGCGGUAGGCCUAACACAUGCAAGUCGAACGGCAGCACAGUAAGAGCUUGCUCUUACGGGUGGCGAGUGGCGGACGGGUGAGGAAUACAUCGGAAUCUACUUUUUCGUGGGGGAUAACGUAGGGAAACUUACGCUAAUACCGCAUACGACCUACGGGUGAAAGCAGGGGAUCUUCGGACCUUGCGCGAUUGAAUGAGCCGAUGUCGGAUUAGCUAGUUGGCGGGGUAAAGGCCCACCAAGGCGACGAUCCGUAGCUGGUCUGAGAGGAUGGUCAGCCAAACUGGAACUGAGACACGGUCCAGGCUCCUACGGGAAGCAGCAGUGGGGAAUAUUGGACAAUGGGCGCAAGCCUGAUCCAGCCAUACCGCGUGGGUGAAGAAGGCCUUCGGGUUGUAAAGCCCUUUUGUUGGGAAAGAAAAGCAGCAGGUUAAUACCCCGCUGUUCUGACGGUACCCAAAGAAUAAGCACCGGCUAACUUCGUG
rnacentral:rRNA from 1 species